UACGAAGGGUGCAGGCGUUAAUCGGAAUUACUGGGCGUAAAGCGCACGUAGGCGGCUUUCUAAGUCGGGGGUGAAAUCCUGGAGCUCAACUCCAGAACUGCCUUCGAUACUGGAGAGCUCGAGUCCGGGAGAGGUGAGUGGAACUGCGAGUGUAGAGGUGAAAUUCGUAGAUAUUCGCAAGAACACCAGUGGCGAAGGCGGCUCACUGGCCCGGUACUGACGCUGAGGUGCGAAAGCGUGGGGAGCAAACAGG
rnacentral:rRNA from 1 species